rnacentral:rRNA from 1 species
CCAGCAGCCGCGGUAAUACGUAGGGUGCAAGCGUUGUCCGGAUUUAUUGGGCGUAAAGAGCUCGUAGGCGGUAUGUCGCGUCGGAUGUGAAAACCCAAGGCUCAACCUUGGGCCUGCAUCCGAUACGGGCACACUAGAGUGUGGUAGGGGAGACUGGAACUCCUGGUGUAGCGGUGAAAUGCGCAGAUAUCAGGAAGAACACCAAUGGCGAAGGCAGGUCUCUGGGCCAUUACUGACGCUGAGGAGCGAAAGCGUGGGGAGCAAACAGGAUUAGAUACCCUGGUAGUCCACGCCGUAAACGGUGGGCGCUAGGUGUGGGGACCAUUCCACGGUUUCCGCGCCGCAGCUAACGCAUUAAGCGCCCCGCCUGGGGAGUACGGCCGCAAGGCUAAAACUCAAAGGAAUUGACGGUGGGGAAAUCUGGCAGAGAUGCCAGUCCGUAGGGCCCCAACAGGUGGUGCAUGGCUGUCGUCAGCUCGUGUCGUGAGACGUUGGGUAAGUCCCGCAACGAGCGCAACCCUCGUCGUAUGUUGCCAGCGGAUAAUGCCGGGGACUCAUACGAGACUGCCGGGGUCAACUCGGAGGAAGGUGGGGACGACGUCAAGUCAUCAUGCCCCUUAUGUCUAGGGCUGCACGCAUGCUACAAUGGCCGGUACAGAGGGCUGCGAAACCGCGAGGUGGAGCGAAUCCCAAAAAGCCGGUCUCAGUUCGGAUUGGGGUCUGCAACUCGACCCCAUGAAGUCGGAGUCGCUAGUAAUCGCAGAUCAGCAACGCUGCGGUGAAUACGUUCCCGGGCCUUGUACACACCGCCCGUCACGUCACGAAAGUCGGCAACACCCGAAGCCGGUGGCCUAACCCUUGUGGGAGGAGCCGUCGAAGGUGGGGCUGGUGAUUGGGACGAAGUCGUAACAAGGUAGCCGAU